UUUUUGCUUAUCUGGACGUAAGAAAGAUUCGAACCUGCACAGGUUCGGGCCGAGCCAUUUAUGGCGAGGCAACGGAGCCGCUUGCGGCAACGGCCCGAAGGGCGAGCGAAGCGAGUCAUCCUGCACGACCCACCA
rnacentral:sRNA from 1 species